AUUGAACGCUGGCGGCACGCCUUACACAUGCAAGUCGAACGGCAGCACGGGAGCAAUCCUGGUGGCGAGUGGCGAACGGGUGAGUAAAGUAUCGGAACGUGCCCAGUCGUGGGGGAUGACGUAGCGAAAGUUACGCUAAUACCGCAUACGAUCUAUGGAUGAAAGCGGGGGAUCGCAAGACCUCGCGCGAUUGGAGCGGCCGAUAUCAGAUUAGGUAGUUGGUGGGGUAAAGGCUCACCAAGCCGACGAUCUGUAGCUGGUCUGAGAGGACGACCAGCCACACUGGGACUGAGACACGGCCCAGACUCCUACGGGAGGCAGCAGUGGGGAAUCUUGGACAAUGGGCGCAAGCCUGAUCCAGCAAUGCCGCGUGCAGGAUGAAGGCCUUCGGGUUGUAAACUGCUUUUGUACGGAGCGAAACGGUCUGCCCUAAUACGGUGGGCUAAUGACGGUACCGUAAGAAUAAGCACCGGCUAACUACGUGCCAGCCGCCGCUGUAA
rnacentral:rRNA from 1 species